GACCGCUCACCUGCAGCGCUGCCCGCUGAUGCUCGGCCCCCGGGGCGCUGCCGGGCGGGGCCAACCGCGCAGCUCCGGGCUCCUGAACCGCAAAGCCAGGCGUGCCAGGCGCACCGAAUCGCACUGCACCGCACGUCGCCACUUGCACCCCUCUGGUCGGUGUCACCAAGGAGGGCUGACGGCGGCUUACCCACGGGAGCUUACCCAAGAUGGCACCAAUGGUAGAUUGGCAUAGUUUGGUGAAAUGGCCAGCCUGGUGUGCCAAGGGCCUGCCUACCCUGAGUGGGAGCAGACACCAGAAGACUUCAAUAUGCAGGGUUCCUCCAGGAUAGCCAACUCCUAGUGUGUGGCUGCACCCGUUACACUCCACCUUUCCACACACACACACAACUGCAUCUGUUUCCACUUGUUUCCCAGCUGAUAGCCGGUCUACCUGAGAUGAGAUCCAGUCUCUCAAGGUUCCUGCCCUGACUCUGCUCAGGGAUGAACAGUGACGUGGAGUUGUAAGAUUAAAUAAAGCCCUUCCUUCCCAAGCUGGCUGCGGUCAGUGUUUGAUCACAGCAACAGAAAGCCAACCAGGACACAGAUUGAUACCAGAGAGUGGAAUCUUUGACAACAGACCUGACACUCAGGAGCCAGCCAGGGGCUGGCGCUGUACACAGCAGGGAAGUCUUCCCACCUCAAUCAAUACAACCAAGUCUCACAAGCAUACCCAGAGCCCCACCUCCCAGGCGAUUCCAGAUGCUGACAACGUGACAGUCGACACUGUCUAUCACAGAGGACUCUCGACAUUGCUGGCACUUCCUGGCACAGUUGCAGAAAGAGAAAAGGGGUCCAUGUAGGAAAUUGUAUCAGAGAGAACGGAUCAGACAGACUCUUGGUCCUGAAGGGCGGAAGAUGGAUUUCCUUGGAGUUUGCCCUGCUGCCUAACUUCAAACAACUUUUGAAAUUAGAGUUUUCAAAGCACCC
rnacentral:lncRNA from 1 species